rnacentral:misc_RNA from 1 species
GAAAUGCGAUAAGUAAUGUGAAUUGCAGAAUUCAGUGAAUCAUCGAAUCUUUGAACGCACCUUGCACUCUCUGGUAUUCCGGAGAGUACGCCUGUUUGAGUGUCAUGAAACUCUCACUCCCUACCUUUUCUUAAUUGAGAAGGAAGGGACGUGGACUUGGACUCUGCUGGUCUUUACGGAUCGGCUUGUCUGAAAUGAAUUAGCUGGAUCCUCUUUGUAAUUGGUUCUACUCGACGUGAUAAGUAUUUCGUCGAGGACAGUCUUAACGGACUGGCCGAGAGAAGAAGAGUCUUUUAGAUCCGCUUCUAAUCCGUACGACCUUUUGGUCUACACUUUUUAUGAUCUGGCCUCAAAUCAGGUGGGACUACCCGCUGAACUUAA